AUGGGCCGACCCAUUAGCGCGUACAGGGAGGAGGAGGCGCGCUUACUACAGAGAAAAACUUGUCCAUCAACCUUAGCGCUGCUGGCACGUCAAGCAUGGCGUCUCCUACAAGAACCACUUUCCCUACGUGCUCGGAUCCUCAAGGUUGUGUAUUACCCAACGUGCUCGGUACUAGAUGCUGAACUUGGUAAAACUCCAUUGCAAGUGUGGCGAUCCAUAGUAGAAGGGAGAGACACACUGAAACUUGGGCUUAUCAAAAGGAUUGGAACAGGAGAUGGUACCCAUAUAUGGCAUGAUAAUUGGAUCCCUCGCGAUUUCAAAUUGCGUCCGGUGUGUCCAAAAACGCCUAACCCCCCACAGAUGGUUUCAGAAUUAAUUGAUCAUGCCUCGGCUUCGUGGGACAUUCAGUUACUUGAGGAGCAUUUUUAUGACAUGGACAAGGCAGAAAUCCUAAACACCCCUCUUAGCUCUAAGGUACAAGCAGACUUCUGGUCUUGGCACUAUGAUAAGAGGGAUCUUUUUAGUGUACGUUCGGCUUACAGGGUCCUGUCAGCCACAAAGGAGCAGCGGACUGACUAG
rnacentral:rRNA from 1 species